rnacentral:rRNA from 1 species
UGGAGAAUGAAAUAGUAACAAUGGCUUUAGUGGCGGACUGGUGAGUAACGCGUGAGCAACCUGCCUAUCAGAGGGGGAAUAACAGUGAGAAAUCAUUGCUAAUACCGCAUAUGCCAUAAACAUCACAUGAUGAAAAUGGGAAAGGAGUAAUCCGCUCAAAGAUGGGUCUGCGUCUGAUUAGCUAGUUGGUGGGGCAACGGCCUACCAAGGCGACGAUCAGUAGCCGGUCUGAGAGGAUGAACGGCCACAUUGGGACUGAGACACGGCCCAGACUCCUACGGGAGGCAGCAGUGGGGAAUCUUCCGCAAUGGACGAAAGUCUGACGGAGCAACGCCGCGUGAACGAUGACGGCCUUCGGGUUGUAAACUUCUUUUACCAGGGACGAAAAAGAUGACGGUACCUGGAGAAAAAGCAACGGCUAACUACGUG